GCUCUCUUCAGCAGAACAUAUAUUAAAACUGGAAUGACACAGUGAAGACUGGCAUGGCUCUUGUGCAAGGAUGACACUCAAAUUUGUGAAGCUUUCCAUAUUUUU